UUAAGCGACUAAGCGUACACGGUGGAUGCCCUGGCAGUCAGAGGCGAUGAAGGACGUGCUAAUCUGCGAAAAGCGUCGGUAAGGUGAUAUGAACCGUUAUAACCGGCGAUGUCCGAAUGGGGAAACCCAGUGCAAUUCGUUGCACUAUCGUUAACUGAAUACAUAGGUUAACGAGGCGAACCGGGGGAACUGAAACAUCUAAGUACCCCGAGGAAAAGAAAUCAACCGAGAUUCCCCCAGUAGCGGCGAGCGAACGGGGAGCAGCCCAGAGUCUGAAUCAGCUUGUGUGUUAGUGGAACGGUCUGGAAAGUCCGACGGUACAGGGUGAUAGUCCCGUACACCAAAAUGCACAGGCUGUGAACUCGAAGAGUAGGGCGGGACACGUGGUAUCCUGUCUGAAUAUGGGGGGACCAUCCUCCAAGGCUAAAUACUCCUGACUGACCGAUAGUGAACCAGUACCGUGAGGGAAAGGCGAAAAGAACCCCGGCGAGGGGAGUGAAAAAGAACCUGAAACCGUGUACGUACAAGCAGUGGGAGCACCUUCGGGUGUGACUGCGUACCUUUUGUAUAAUGGGUCAGCGACUUAUAUUCUGUAGCAAGGUUAACCGUAUAGGGGAGCCGCAGGGAAACCGAGUCUUAACUGGGCGUUAAGUUGCAGGGUAUAGACCCGAAACCCGGUGAUCUAGCCAUGGGCAGGUUGAAGGUUGGGUAACACUAACUGGAGGACCGAACCGACUAAUGUUGAAAAAUUAGCGGAUGACUUGUGGCUGGGGGUGAAAGGCCAAUCAAACCGGGAGAUAGCUGGUUCUCCCCGAAAGCUAUUUAGGUAGCGCCUCGUGAAUUCAUCUUCGGGGGUAGAGCACUGUUUCGGCUAGGGGGUCAUCCCGACUUACCAACCCGAUGCAAACUACGAAUACCGAAGAAUGUUAUCACGGGAGACACACGGCGGGUGCUAACGUCCGUCGUGAAGAGGGAAACAACCCAGACCGCCAGCUAAGGUCCCAAAGUCAUGGUUAAGUGGGAAACGAUGUGGGAAGGCACAGACAGCCAGGAUGUUGGCUUAGAAGCAGCCAUCAUUUAAAGAAAGCGUAAUAGCUCACUGGUCGAGUCGGCCUGCGCGGAAGAUGUAACGGGGCUAAACCAUGCACCGAAGCUGCGGCAGCGACACUAUGUGUUGUUGGGUAGGGGAGCGUUCUGUAAGCCUGCGAAGGUGACCUGUGAGGGUUGCUGGAGGUAUCAGAAGUGCGAAUGCUGACAUAAGUAACGAUAAAGCGGGUGAAAAGCCCGCUCGCCGGAAGACCAAGGGUUCCUGUCCAACGUUAAUCGGGGCAGGGUGAGUCGACCCCUAAGGCGAGGCCGAAAGGCGUAGUCGAUGGGAAACAGGUUAAUAUUCCUGUACUUGGUGUUACUGCGAAGGGGGGACGGAGAAGGCUAUGUUAGCCGGGCGACGGUUGUCCCGGUUUAAGCAUGUAGGCUGGUUGUCCAGGCAAAUCCGGAUAAUCAAGGCUGAGGUGUGAUGACGAGGCACUACGGUGCUGAAGUAACAAAUGCCCUGCUUCCAGGAAAAGCCUCUAAGCAUCAGGUAACAUCAAAUCGUACCCCAAACCGACACAGGUGGUCAGGUAGAGAAUACCAAGGCGCUUGAGAGAACUCGGGUGAAGGAACUAGGCAAAAUGGUGCCGUAACUUCGGGAGAAGGCACGCUGGUGUGUAGGUGAAGUCCCUGCGGAUGGAGCUGAGACCAGUCGAAGAUACCAGCUGGCUGCAACUGUUUAUUAAAAACACAGCACUGUGCAAACACGAAAGUGGACGUAUACGGUGUGACGCCUGCCCGGUGCCGGAAGGUUAAUUGAUGGGGUUAUCCGUAAGGAGAAGCUCUUGAUCGAAGCCCCGGUAAACGGCGGCCGUAACUAUAACGGUCCUAAGGUAGCGAAAUUCCUUGUCGGGUAAGUUCCGACCUGCACGAAUGGCGUAAUGAUGGCCAGGCUGUCUCCACCCGAGACUCAGUGAAAUUGAACUCGCUGUGAAGAUGCAGUGUACCCGCGGCAAGACGGAAAGACCCCGUGAACCUUUACUAUAGCUUGACACUGAACAUUGAGCCUUGAUGUGUAGGAUAGGUGGGAGGCUUUGAAGCGUGGACGCCAGUCUGCGUGGAGCCAACCUUGAAAUACCACCCUUUAAUGUUUGAUGUUCUAACGUUGGCCCCUUACCGGGGUUGCGGACAGUGUCUGGUGGGUAGUUUGACUGGGGCGGUCUCCUCCCAAAGCGUAACGGAGGAGCACGAAGGUUAGCUAAUCCUGGUCGGACAUCAGGAGGUUAGUGCAAUGGCAUAAGCUAGCUUGACUGCGAGCGUGACGGCGCGAGCAGGUGCGAAAGCAGGUCAUAGUGAUCCGGUGGUUCUGAAUGGAAGGGCCAUCGCUCAACGGAUAAAAGGUACUCCGGGGAUAACAGGCUGAUACCGCCCAAGAGUUCAUAUCGACGGCGGUGUUUGGCACCUCGAUGUCGGCUCAUCACAUCCUGGGGCUGAAGUAGGUCCCAAGGGUAUGGCUGUUCGCCAUUUAAAGUGGUACGCGAGCUGGGUUUAGAACGUCGUGAGACAGUUCGGUCCCUAUCUGCCGUGGGCGCUGGAGAAUUGAGGGGGGCUGCUCCUAGUACGAGAGGACCGGAGUGGACGCAUCACUGGUGUUCGGGUUGUCAUGCCAAUGGCACUGCCCGGUAGCUAAAUGCGGAAGAGAUAAGUGCUGAAAGCAUCUAAGCACGAAACUUGCCCCGAGAUGAGUUCUCCCUGAGACUUUAAGUCUCCUGAAGGAACGUUGAAGACGACGACGUUGAUAGGCCGGGUGUGUAAGCGCAGCGAUGCGUUGAGCUAACCGGUACUAAUGAACCGUGAGGCUUAACCUU
rnacentral:rRNA from 1 species